rnacentral:rRNA from 1 species
CCGACGGUGAGGGACGAAGCCCUGGGGCGCAAACGGGAUUAGAUACCCCGGUAGUCCAGGGUGUAAACGCUGCGGGCUUGGUGUUGGGGGUCCUUUGAGGGCGCCCAGUGCCGGAGAGAAGUUGUUAAGCCUGCUGCUUGGGGGAGUACGUCCGCAAGGAUGAAACUUAAAGGAAUUGGCGGGGGAGCACCGCAACGGGAGGAGCGUGCGGUUCAAUUGGAUUCAACACCGGACAACUCACCAGGAGCGACGGUUACAUGAAGGCCAGGCUGAUGACCUUGCCUGAUUUUCCGAGAGGUGGUGCAUGGCCGUCGUCAGUUCGUACCGUAAGGCGUUCUCUUAAGU